rnacentral:misc_RNA from 1 species
GAGAAUAUCGCCCUCACGGGUGACUCUCCAACCCAAUGUUAUUCUAUCUUUGUUGCUUUGGCGAGCCGCCUUGGCCACCGGCUCACGCUGGUGAGUGCUCGCCAGAGGACCCAAAACUCUGAAUUAAAGUAUUGUCCGAGUACUAUAUAAUAGUUAAAACUUUCAACAACGGAUCUCUUGGUUCU